ACGGGAAAUAGGACAUGUUUAAUAAUAAUAGAAGGACCACGCCUAAACCAAUUCUAAUUCUAAUUUAUGUGAAAAUGCAUUAGCUAGAAUUUAAUUAAGUGAGUCACACAUACAGAAACAUAUUGGGGAGGAGACGUCUCUGUGUCACUUGAUACAUAUUCUUCCAUAAAAAUAAUAAACAACAUGUGUUAACUUUUUCCAAUCAUAAAACAAGACCAAUGUAUAGAAAAAUUAAUUAAAAUGGAAUCCAAGCCACACAGUGAAAAAGAAGAAAGAAGAAAGAAGAAAGAAAAUAGAUUAUCUUCAGAGAAAUGAUUUCCUCACCAUCACUUCCCCGCCUCAUGAAUUGUUCUCUCUCUCAAAACAAAACACUUAUUCCAAACCAAAAUUUUCAAAUUAAAUCAACAUCAGAUAAAGAAUUCAAACAUCAACCUUAUAUAUCAAUGGAGUACGACGUAAAGGAUGAAGGGUACCGAUCGGAAGAACGCAAGUCGCAGUUUUAAGCAAAGGUGCAACAUGAUGCGGAGGCCGCCGACGGUGAUUGGGUGACUUGAAAAAAGAAUCACGACGAAAAUAAGAAUGACGGAAAGGUCAUCGUGGAGAUCAAAAUCCCUUGGUUUGUGUGUAGCGACUAGGUGGUGGCUCCGUUUUAGAUUACUUCUCCCUUAUUUCUUCUGAUUUGUUUUGUUUGGAUUCUAACUGGGUUGAGAUGUUGAUGUCGAUUGUUGAGAUUUGUUACAGUUGUCGGCGAUGGAUUCACGGCGUUAAGUCGGCGACGGAAAGAGAAGUGGUUGAGAUUUUGUGGAGAAGAAGAACUCGAUGAACUAUUUUGUGCGUGAAAGGAAAAUUUAUUUGGAGCUGGUUUUGGGUAAUAGCCGUCAGCGAUGGAGAUUUUGUUGUGGGAAGGUUGUCAGCGGUUGUUGGUAAAGGGGGGAACGACGGAUGACGAUUGUGCGACGGCAGUGAUUUGUGGAUCUGCAAGUUGGAAGGUCAAAGGUUGAAGAUGAAAUUGGGAGGGUUUUACAAGGUGAAGAGCGGAAGGUGCGGUGGAGACGGGAAAUGAAGAAAAGGAAACAGUAAUCUUUUUAAUUUCUUUUUUUUAUUUUCUUUUUUUUGCAGAGAGAUGGUGGAGAGAGGAGGCAUAUGUGAGUGGAUUGUGUCAUUUAAUGGUGGUAGGUGGCGUGUAGAGUGAGGGAAACGUGAGGUGAGAGAGAAAAGAAGGAGUGGGAAGUGUGAGAGGUAGCGUAGUGAGCUGUCAAGUGAGUGUGUGGGAAUCGUGAGAGAGAGACAUCUGGAGAGGGUAGUGUGUAGGGAAAGGAAAACGUGAGAAUUAUGAGUGGGUGAGGGGAUAGGUGGCGGCGAUGUUGCAGUUUAGAAGCUAGCUGCGUUUUGGCAUCAACUUUUUGCAUUCCAAUUGUAACUUAGUUUAUUUGCUUUCACUACUGGCUUGGUGUACUAGCUUGUGUAGCUUUUGUUCUUUUCAUUUUUCUCUUCAUUCCUUAUUGUAAAUGCAAAUGUACCUUAUUAAAUUUGAUAAAAACGGUGGUGGUUUUGAGAUAUUUGGAUAAUUGGUUAUGAUUUUACUAAAUGGAUUAAAA
rnacentral:lncRNA from 1 species